CGCAUCUAUCAUGCAGUCGAGCGAAUGGAUUAAGAGCUUGCUCUUAUGAAGUUAGCGGCGGACGGGUGAGUAACACGUGGGUAACCUGCCCAUAAGACUGGGAUAACUCCGGGAAACCGGGGCUAAUACCGGAUAACAUUUUGAACUGCAUGGUUCGAAAUUGAAAGGCGGCUUCGGCUGUCACUUAUGGAUGGACCCGCGUCGCAUUAGCUAGUUGGUGAGGUAACGGCUCACCAAGGCAACGAUGCGUAGCCGACCUGAGAGGGUGAUCGGCCACACUGGGACUGAGACACGGCCCAGACUCCUACGGGAGGCAGCAGUAGGGAAUCUUCCGCAAUGGACGAAAGUCUGACGGAGCAACGCCGCGUGAGUGAUGAAGGCUUUCGGGUCGUAAAACUCUGUUGUUAGGGAAAAACAAGUGCUAGAUGAAUAAGCUGGAACCUUGACGGCACCUAAGCAGAAGGCCGGGAGAGAACGACGGGCCAGCGGCGGGGGUAAUGGGUAGGUGAAAGGCGAUAUCCGGCAUUAGGGGGCGGAAGCGGGCGAUAAUAUUUUAAUAGUCUGAGGGACAGCCACCGAAAGAGCGUGGAGGGUAAUGGGAAGUUUCGCACAAGGGGCAAGAGGCUGAGGCCAUGGCG
rnacentral:rRNA from 2 species